GCGGAGGUCACCCGGGGCGGAGCCGGUGCAGGCGGUCGGACCCAGGUGUCUGCGGCCUAAGCAGCCAGCUGAUGCUCGCUGGGCUCGAGUCCACAGAUGGCUGCCAGGCCUGGCCUUCUCACCAAGGCGUCCCAGCAGCCGGGCCCUGGGUGGAAGGAAGGUGCUGUCAAGCUGGUCUUCAGGUCGUCUGGCCUCUCUCACCGCAGGCGGCGUCACUGCGCUGGGGCGGCGCCAGGGUUCCUAGGCGAGGGACAGGCAGGAACCUCCAUUUCAUGCCAUGGUGCUUCGAGGACCGUACCAGCCUUGCAGUACCACAACAUGGACUGAGCUGGAGGCAUCUAAAGGCAUCAACACAGAGCACUAACAAGAACGAUGUAACAGCUCAGCUGUUCCAUCUUAACCGCUCCUAACAGGCAGGUCCUGGGCGCCUCUGACCACUGACAAAUGGCCUGCCAACCUCUACUGAAGGCCGUGCUGCUGCUCGUUAGAGGUGGGGUAUGGAGAAAGACGCCCCCAGAGUCCAUGACCUGGGAACACAAAGGCUCUCGCUUUGAAUCCUGCCUCACUGCACCUGUCUUGUGGGUGGAGAUCUGGAGUCAGCCCCGGAGCAGGGCUAAGCGGGAUUCAAGGUUCCCCAGGCCACAGGGUACAAGUUACAUAGCCUGGGGAUGGUACCUGUAGGACUUGUCUUCCUUUCCAGUCAAGAAACCCUCUGCAGGAAUGGGCUGGCUUCUGAAAACAGUGUCUGCCUGCCUCUAGAGCAGGUGACAACUCUAAGAAAGCAGCCUAGGUGACCACAUGAUGGAGACUUCCUCAGCUUUGUCAGUACUUGUCCCUCUCUUCCAAUUGGGUGUCUUCAGGCCCCAACCUCCAACACCUUACUACCAAGUGUUCUGACAGACUGUUAGCUCUUUACAAGCAUGUCAAGACUGCCUUCUUAAAAACUAAAUCCAUGGCUUGGUGACUUAGAAGAUUUUUAAUGUUAUAAGCCUGUAGGCGGUGACACGCGCCUGUUUAACAAUUCAUGGUAAAACUCCCCCAAAACACUUUAGGCCACAGCAGCUAAUUUUAAAUAAGCCAUGAUAUAUAAAUAUGAG
rnacentral:lncRNA from 1 species